rnacentral:rRNA from 1 species
UUAAAUUGAAGAGUUUGAUCAUGGCUCAGAUUGAACGCUGGCGGCAGGCCUAACACAUGCAAGUCGAACGGUAACAGGAAGAAGCUUGCUUCUUUGCUGACGAGUGGCGGACGGGUGAGUAAUGUCUGGGAAACUGCCUGAUGGAGGGGGAUAACUACUGGAAACGGUAGCUAAUACCGCAUAACGUCGCAAGACCAAAGAGGGGGACCUUCGG